CUCCUUUGCCUCAUUUCUUUUCACUCCCUACUAUUUCCUCCACUCCCUCACACUCUCCUCCUCCACUUCCCCACGAAAAUGGUGCUCCCCUUGCUCCCAUGGCCGGCCAUGGCCAUGGCAAGCCACCAAGAUGAAGCUCUCCCUCUCCCUCAAGCUCCUCCUUACCAUGAGAGCCUCCCUCUCCUUCUUCUCCCCAACCCUAGAUGGUUUUCUCUCCUCUUCCUCUUCCUCCAUUGCUAAGAUUGGAUCUUGAUGCAGGUGCAUGUUGGUCCAAGCAUGGAGAAGCUUGAGCUAUCCUCAGAUCUGAAGUUCUUGAGCAAAAUCCAAAUCGAGUGAUUCAAAGUUCCGCAGAUAGAUACGGAAAAGAUCUACAACUUGGGGUUGGUCUCAUCCUCAAAUUCGUUACAGAUUGUCCGUGGUGAAAGCCCUCUUCAAUACCUUCAUUUUGGCGGUGGUUUCACUUCGAUUGACCUCCUGAAACUGAAAUGGUUCACAGGUCAAAAUCUGGUCAGAUCUGAAUUUGUCGA